UAAUUUUUAGGGAUGAUGUUGACUGCUGCAGCUGCAUUGUCGCUAAAUUAGUGUGGGCUUAAAUCAUUCCUCUGGCUCAGGAUGUCCCUGAAGAGACUGUGUAACCCAAUAGGAUAUUCUGGGUCUGCUCAUGUCGUGUUUACCUUGCUCAUAGUACUCCUCUCUGUAGAUCUGCUGCUGGCUGGGGCUGGAAACAGAUUUCUAAGAAAAAGAAUGCUGGAAAUAUGGAAGGUGGUGACAGUGACAGCAUCCCAAGUCUAGAAGGUGAUACUGUGCAGAUUCUGGAUAACUGUGAUGAGAGGACAUAUUCAGAUCAUGGUACAUGAUAUGGAUAAAGAAGAUUCUGUAACAGUGGAGUCAGUGGAAAGGCCAGUGGUCAUCUUGAAACUCCUCCUUGAUCUUCCUGGAGAGGUCUGUGUUUAUACCAUUUAUUUUAAGUGUGAGAACUUUAUGUCAGACCAAACCAUUAGCGGCUCUCCAGGGAGCAAACAGCAAAGUGCCGGCGAGGCCCAGGGCCGCUGUGAAGAGACAGAGUUUCUACACUGACAGUUUCUACACUUAUACAUUUCUCCCCUGGAAGAAGGCGAUGAGGAGAUAUUACUGAGGGGGGGAGAGAGGAGAGCAGCAGAUCAAGCAGCAACAACAAAGCCCCUCCAGGCAGCUGUGGAGCAGCAGCUCAGGGGAACAGGCUGGGAAACCUGGGCCUGGGCAUCUUUGUUGUGAUGGGAGCUGUACCCCAAGCCCCCAGCUGCCUGCAGACCCUGGGGUGCCCACCGGUUCUGGGCUAUUCUGUCAGAUGUAAUAUGUACAUGGAUGCACAUUUCUUCUUUGAACAUUUUAGGAGUUCAUGCAUAUUCCUAUGCCCACAGUUAAGCUGAAGUCGGGGGCCUGUUGGUGAAGAUGAUGAUUUGUUUGGGGAUGGAGGGAUGAACAACUAUUUUCUUCAACCUGAUGGAUUGCUUCCCAUCUCUGUUUCGAACUACCAAGUAAUUGCAGCCAAUGAAAGACUUUGUUUCAUUCAUCUCACGCUUUAAUGUGACUGAUAAUAUUACCCAGUAACGUACGGCAUUCGUGUCAGCGAAGAAGGAUUUCACUUGUCUG
rnacentral:lncRNA from 1 species